GACGAACGCUGGCGGCGUGCUUAACACAUGCAAGUCGAACGGAAAGGCCCUGCUUUUGUGGGGUGCUGGAGUGGCGAACGGGUGAGUAACACGAGAGUAACCUGCCCUUGACUUUGGGAUAACUUCACGAAACUGGGGCUAAGAUCGUAUAGGAGCUCCUGCUGCAUGGUGGGGGUUGGAAAGUUUCGGCGGUUGGGGAUGGACUCGCGGCUUUCCAGCUUGUUGGUGGGGUAGUGGCUUACCUAGGCUUUGACGGGUAGCCGGCCUGAGAGGGUGACCGGCCACAUUGGGACUGAGAUACGGCCCAGACUCCUACGGGAGGCAGCAGUGGGGAAUAUUGCACAGUGGGCGGAAGCCUGAUGCAGCGGCGCCGCGUGCGGGAUGACGGCCUUCGGGUUGUAAACCGCUUUCGCCUGUGACGAAGCGUGAGUGACGGUAAUGGGUAAAGAAGCACCGGCUAACUACGUG
rnacentral:rRNA from 1 species